GCCACCUGAACCUCUUUGGGAAGACCUAGAGUGGCCAGAUGCAUAGCCCUGUGGCAGCUGUAUUUGACCCAAAAAAAUUGUUGCAGAGGGUCUGUGGGAAGCCGCUCUCUCUACAGCACAGUACCAAAUCCCAAAUGGGACAGGCUAUGGCUUGGGAGAAGCAGGGUGGGGGUGAUGCUGGGAAGAGGUUGUUUUCUUAACAGAGUUACAGCAGUGCCAUUAGCGGUGAGCACCUGUGUCUCUGGAAAGUAAACAGGGGCACCCUCCCUCUUCCCAUCUCUCUAAGGACCUGGCCUCUGGGGUCCCACCUAUCCCAGCUUCAGGAUAAGAAUGGAAGACUGCUCAUUCACAGAACCCCUGGCACUGACCAGCCAGCAGACACGCUGGGUACAAUGGGGGUAGACACCUAUCCCGCAGGGCAAAGCCCUAACUAACUUCAGUCCUCCAGGCAGGCAGCCACCCCAUCUCUCCUCUCCUCUCACCCCUUGGGGAAGAACCUCUGGAUGAGAAUCCAGGCCUAGAGGAACUCAUUGAGCCAGGCACACGGGCAUUAGCCAGAGCCAGAGCCAAGAUAGCCACAGUCUUAGCAAUUGAAGGUGACUGCUCAGGAGAGACUGGUGCCCCCUUGUAGUUAGGAAGCCCAAGAAUGGGGAAGGGGAUGCAGUCUUUCCUCCUGGAGGGAUCUCUGCACAGCUUUUCAUGAGGCCAGACCUAGAUACCCACUUCCCUAUUUCUAUAGUCUAUAAAAAAGGGCAGGAGGUAGGCAGGCUGAAC
rnacentral:lncRNA from 1 species